AACAUCGCGCACCUGCGGGAACCUGCGGAAGGAUCAUUAGCUUAGGAAGGGGGAGGAUGGAUGGGGGUAGAGAGGAGCCAAGGGGGUAACUCCAAGACUCUUCGAUACUCAAUCCAACCCAACCCAACCCAACCCAACCCCAACCCACGUGAACAUGGAUAAUGUCUGUGAUGAUGGCGGCAGUGCUAGUGUGUGUGAGCUGCUACGCUUGCAUGGAUGAACAUUGCCGACAUUGUCAAU
rnacentral:misc_RNA from 1 species